rnacentral:rRNA from 1 species
UACGGGGGGGGCAAGCGUUGUUCGGAAUUACUGGGCGUAAAGGGUUCGUAGGUGGCCUACUAAGUCAGACGUGAAAUCCCUCAGCUUAACUGGGGAACUGCGUCUGAUACUGGGGGGCUUGAGGACAGGAGAGGAACGCGGAAUUCCAGGUGUAGCGGUGAAAUGCGUAGAUAUCUGGAGGAGCACCGGUGGCGAAGGCGGCGUUCUGGACUGUUUCUGACACUGAGGAACGAAAGCCAGGGGAGCAAACGGG